CUCAGUGGAUCCCUUGGCAUGUGGGUCGAUGAAAAACGCAGCAAGAAUGCGCGUUGUCAUGUGAACUGCAGGACACAUGAAUAUCGACACUUUGAACACAAAUGGCGGCCCUCGUCUUGUACUUGGGCCACACCUGGCAGAGGGUCGGAUCAAAUAUUCAAUAACCAGACUGUG
rnacentral:rRNA from 1 species